GAAACAGUUGCUAAGACUGGAUAGGAAAUAAAAAGGCAUCUUUUUAUUUUUAAAAGACCUUUUUCGGAAGGUAUGCUUAAAGAGGGGCUUGCGUCACAUUAGUUAGUUGGCAGGGUAAAGGCCUACCAAGACUAUGAUGUGUAGCUGGACUGAGAGGUUGAACAGCCACAUUGGGACUGAGACACGGCCCAAACUCCUACGGGAGGCAGCAGUAGGGAAUUUUCGGCAAUGGAGGAAACUCUGACCGAGCAACGCCGCGUGAACGAUGAAGUAUUUCGGUAUGUAAAGUUCUUUUAUUGAAGAAGAAAAAAUAGUGGAAAAACUAUCUUGACGAUAUUCAAUGAAUAAGCCCCGGCAAACUAUGUGCCAGCAGCCGCGGUAAUACAUAGGGGGCGAGCGUUAUCCGGAAUUAUUGGGCGUAAAGGGUGCGUAGGCGGUUUAAUAAGUCUAUAGUUUAAUUUCAGUGCUUAACACUGUCCUGCUAUAGAAACUAUUAGACUAGAGUGAGAUAGAGGCAAGUGGAAUUCCAUGUGUAGCGGUAAAAUGCGUAAAUAUAUGGAGGAACACCAGAGGCGUAGGCGGCUUGCUGGGUCUUUACUGACGCUGAGGCACGAAAGCGUGGGGAGCAAACAGGAUUAGAUACCCUGGUAGUCCACGCUGUAAACGAUGAGUACUAAGUGUCGGGAUUACUCGGUACUGAAGUUAACACAUUAAGUACUCCGCCUGAGUAGUACGUACGCAAGUAUGAAACUUAAAGGAAUUGACGGGACUCCGCACAAGCGGUGGAUCAUGUUGUUUAAUUCGAAGAUACACGAAAAACCUUACCAGGUCUUGACAUACUCUGCAAAGCUAUAGCAAUAUAGUGGAGGUUAUCAGGGAUACAGGUGGUGCAUGGUUGUCGUCAGCUCGUGUCGUGAGAUGUUAGGUUAAGUCCUAAAACGAGCGCAACCCUUGUCAUUAGUUGCCAGCAUGUCAUGAUGGGCACUUUAAUGAGACUGCCAAUGAAAAAUUGGAGGAAGGUGAGGAUCACGUCAAAUCAUCAUGCCCCUUAUGAUCUGGGCUACAAACGUGAUACAAUGGCUGUUACAAAGAGUAGCUGAAACGCAAGUUUAUAGCCAAUCUCAUAAAAGCAGUCUCAGUUCGGAUUGAAGUCUGCAACUCGACUUCAUGAAGUUGGAAUCGCUAGUAAUCGCGAAUCAGCAUGUCGCGGUGAAUACGUUCUCGGGGUUUGUACACACCGCCCGUCA
rnacentral:rRNA from 1 species